UGAAGAGUUUGAUCCUGGCUCAGGAUGAACGCUAGCGGCAGGCCUAACACAUGCAAGUCGAGGGGUAACAGAAAAGCUUGCUUUUGCUGACGACCGGCGCACGGGUGCGUAACGCGUAUGCAACCUACCUCAUACUGGAGGAUAGCCCCUGGAAACGGGGAUUAAUACUCCAUAGUAUCACAAUUUCGCAUGUUAUUGUGAUUAAAGUUUUUCGGUAUGAGAUGGGCAUGCGUCCCAUUAGCUUGUUGGUGAGGUAACGGCUCACCAAGGCAACGAUGGGUAGGGGGCCUGAGAGGGUGGUCCCCCACACUGGUACUGAGACACGGACCAGACUCCUACGGGAGGCAGCAGUGAGGAAUAUUGGUCAAUGGAGGAAACUCUGAACCAGCCAUGCCGCGUGAAGGAUGACGGCCCUAUGGGUUGUAAACUUCUUUUAUAGAGGAAGAAACUUGUCUACGUGUAGACAACUGACGGUACUCUACGAAUAAGGAUCGGCUAACUCCGUGCCAGCAGCCGCGGUAAUACGGAG
rnacentral:rRNA from 1 species